AACGCACAUUGCGCUCCUCGGUAUUCCGGGGAGCAUGCCUGUUCGAGCGUCAUUUACACCUCUCAAGCGUAGCUUGGUAUUGGACUUCGUCUUUGGAGACGGGUCCGAAAACGAGUGGCGGUCGAGUAGAACUUUAAGCGUAGUAAAUUAUCCCGCUUUGAAAGUUAUAUUCUGUCUACCAAUAAAUUCAGUCUUAAGAUUAAUCUCAGUCCUAAGACGCAUUCAAGAUUGACCUCGGAUCAGGUAGGGAUACCCGCUGAACUUAA
rnacentral:misc_RNA from 1 species